AUUGGAAGGUCCCUAGCAAGGAGAAGAGGUCAUUGGAACAAGUAGAACAUUUAUUGUUGCAAGAUCAACAUUCUAGCCAAGUGGGAAAUUGAAGAAAAAGGAUUUUGGCGGAUUUGGAACGUGAAUUUGGAGUCGCAUAAGAAGCAGAAAAGGUACACCAGAUGAGCCACAGCUAUCAUAGAAGAUGUUCCAGCGGAGUUGGCAGGCUCCACUUGUUCUGGAGUGCUGCCGAGUCAGAGUGUCUGAGCCAUGAUGUUUGUUUGAUGUUAGAGACUUUGCAGACAGAGUCGUGGGUAUAGAGUGUCGAUAAUAUGUUGUAUCAUAAAGUCCAUGUGAUUGCAGAUUCUGUUUGACUUGAGUACG